CGUUUAACUUUCUGAAAACGGAUGAAAUUAGGAAUCGGUGGUCACUGUUGAUUUAUAACGCUGUUCCUGAGCUGUACGACCCGAACGUUUGCGUGUGCAGAGCGCAUUUUACAGAGGACAGCUUCCUGAACCUGGCCGAGUACAACGCAGGCUACACACGAAGGCUACUCCUGAAAAAUGGGGCGGUUCCCACUUUGCUCGGGCAAUCUUGAGCUUCUGAAUCAGAACCUGUGAGUUUUGUGUUGUGUAGACCUCUGCUAACGUGCUAGCUAAAGUUUGCUAAGUUACCUCGGUUUUUAUGUUUGUUUGUAUGUUGGUGGUCUGUCAGGGACGUUGAUUGUAGCUGCUGUUGGGAUUGUAUCUUGAAACGGUUUAUAUCAAUCAAAUCACAAGAAUCCCAGCUUUCCAAAGAUAUAUCGCAUGAGUACCUACGUACACACAGAAGCUGUGUACAGCAUAGUUAGUCCCGCCUGGGGGGACAGAAUGUACAUCGUAUCUGAAAGGUGAGAGAAUUACAAAAUAAAAACUCCGCUGUGAAACGUUCUGCUCAAGCCGUGUUUGCAAAUACGGUCGAUCAUCCGCAUUUUCUGAAUCGGACUCGGGCUCGAACUGAUACGGUAAACCCGACGACAUGUUGCUUUGGACCUUAGAAUCGCUUUAGAAGCUUUGGAGGCUGAAGUUAGCGCAAGGGGGCGUUACAUUUCCGACACACGCUUGAGGUUUUUGGCCAAUCACAAAGCAACAGGUCAGCUGGCCAAUCAGAGCACUCUGGGCUUUUCAGAAGGUGGGGCUUUGGAGAAAUCGGAGCGUUUCAGGCAGCCUGGGAAUAGAGGAACUGCAAUACUGUACAGUAUGAGACAAAUAAUGUGUUUUUUGAACAUUAAAGCACGUUAACCUAUUCCAUUACACCCAAUAAACAACAUCAUUAAUGUUUAAAAAACGUUUAAAAAUCAUGAUAUGACCCCUUUAAUGUGUGUGUUCUCAUACAUUAUAGUAACGGUUCAUUCACAGAGAGUUCUACACUCCAUGUAAACGGAUUUUCCAAAAACAAAAAAGGAAUCGUUGAUAUGGAGAAGUUUUCUUCAAGUAAGGAGACAUGUAUGAAGGAGUCUCCAGUGUCAGCACUUUGUAACAGUUAGAGGUAAAGCUGUAACUUGAAGUUUUCAGGACAGUGGUGUUUAUGCUCUUUGUGCUUUCUUGGUAACAUGACAAGCUGCGUUUUGUUGUUGUUGUUGUUGUUGUUGUUGUUAUUGUCUUAUUAACUUCAAGAUGCAAAAAAGACGCUGGUGAGUGGAUGGCUGCUAUAAUGUGAGUGAAAACAGAAAUGAACUUAUAACUUAAUGUAACUAUAAAUGGUUAAAAAAUCAUGUUGUUAUUUAAUAAAUAAAAUAUUGUAAUCAUUGGCACCUUGUUGUGGUAUAAUAGGAAUAAAACAGGAAGAAGUUGAAUGUCAGAGCCACUUUUUGGGGCGGACAUUUCCAUUUUUCAACUCUUUUUCACGUGACACGUACCGUUCUCUGCCGAUGACGACGACGCACUAGAGAACAGUUGUGAAAACACGGACCGAAACGUAAAUAAGAUCAUCUCCUUCAAAGCCGAACUUAAUAACUGCCUUUUUUCUCGCUGAGAUAUCGACGUUACGAUUUGGGCGUGACGUCAGCAGCAGCGCCGCUAUAAAAGCCAUUUGGAUGACGUCAUCGGGAACUGUCAGUCAGGCGGUUGCUAUAGAAACUGAUGAGCGCAUGGUGCAAACAGAGCUUCUCACAUACACACACACACACACACAUAGAAACACGCAUACAAGCACAUGCACUCACACAUCGAGCUCCAUCAGCGCGCGCUCCAGGACGCAGCAAUUUCAUCAGUUUAACCCACUGAUGUCCGUGGAAGACGCCACCUCUAAAUAAUCGUUUCGUGUUUCAUCGAUACAGGUUCCUUACACCUUCUGGAGGAACCUCAUUGCACCUUAACCGAUGGCGACUGAAGAAAGCAACAGUGCAGAGUUCCAAGAGAAAACCGGCUUGAAGAGAAAACUAACAGGACCACCACGACUUCUACUGGGCAAAUCCAGGUCUCCAGGUCAAGAUGAGAAGAAAUCAAGAAAGCAUAGACGACACAACGACACGCCGCUGGACACGGCAGAAACCGAGCAAAGCGCUGAACUGCACGAGCUGACGAGUCCUGAAAGUCCUCAAACUGUCCUGACUUCAGAUCUUGAUGGAGGAACACGCACGGAUCUCCGGGACGAGUGUUCGGAAACAGCUUCAAAGUUGCAGCAGAACGUGAAGAAAAUUCGGAGAAGGAGCAAAGCUGGAGCGACCAUUAGACGGAUUUUCUCCUGUGUUAGGAGGAGAAAGGAUCUGGGAAUGAAAACUGUGGAGGAUGCUGAGGAAAACACGCAGCGCAGAGAACACCACAGCAUCCACGACGAGGAACUUCUGACCCAUUCAGGUGAUUCCUUGAAAGUGAAGCGUGAACAAGAGCCGGUGAAGAAGUUCAAGGUGCGAAUGUUGCGCAUCUUCAAAAAACGUUCAUCCAAAGGCAAGCAGGAACUUGAAGAACAUGGAGAAGAACGAUGUAAUGAUAUUUUCACUGAAAUAUCUUCAGAAACAACUGAUCGGCGUACAGCUGGUGCUGCAGAGCCGCCAGCUGUGGACGAACAGCAGAAUGGAUCAAGUGGGAUUGACGAGGAUGCAACCAGAAUCCAUGAGGAAACCUGCUUGGAAUCACAAGAUCCCAAAAGCGAGGUUCUGGAAGCGAUUUCCUUGAAUGUAGAGGUGAACGUUAACUCGAAUGCCGUGUUCGUUCAUGAAAACCACCAACAUCCACCCGAAUCUCACUUCCCAAGUCCUGUAGAUGAACAGGAGCCCAAGAUACAGACUAGCGAGGCUCUGCUAACAGGGCUUGCGGAGUCUAAUUCCGAUCCGGAAGAUCCCUGGAUGUCUCCAGAAGAUCCGGUUACAGAUGGCCCGGUAGUCGAUGCUCCAGUUGAAAAUGCGAGUGUUUUUAAAUGCAAACCCGUCAUCACGAUAGAAGACGUUCACUCGUCAGACGAAGAAAACCACGACUCGUUUGAAAACCCAGCUCCGCGAUACGGCACGCUGUCGCCGCUCGUCGCCCUUAACGGAUCCUGUUACACGUUAAAGACUCCGGACAGUCGGUUUUCCGAGAUCCUGCUCGCUCAGACGGCGCUGUCUUUGGUCCGCGCAGCUAUUAGCGGUGCCGUUGAAGAGCUUUCAGCCGAGCUGAGGAGCCGUCAGAUGGAUCGGGAUCAUGUCUAAUACUCUCACACACACACACACUAAUUCUUACAAAUUUCAGCCAAGAAUCAUGUUCCGUGCUGGUUCCACUGGGGCAGGACUCAGAUCUUCGGAGGAACAUCAGUGUGCUUUAUUUACUCCUCGCUGUUAGAUGAGUUAGCGUGGUAUAGUUUGCGUGCAUGGUUGCGCUGAGAGUAACAGAUACGUAUCAUGUAUUGAUUGACCUGUAAGUGUUCAGUGUUAUCUUGAUAUCAUAAAGAUCCUGAAUGCACUGGAGACUGGAAAAGUCUUCUAUUUAUGUCUAUGGCAGACAUGCAGAAAUAUUUGCAUUGGCAAGAUUGGACUAAUAUAUAUAUAUAUAGUAAAAAGAAAUAAACAUGUAACUAGUUUAAUUCCAUGACUUCUCCUGCAGUUGUACGGUAUUUUUAGCCUGAAUGUGACAUUAUCUCUCGUAUCACUGCAGCGUAAGCCUCGUUUCUAUAGCAAUGGAGAACCCACGUUUUCCACGUUCCUGCUACACAACAUGUUGUGUGGUCUUGAUUUUUUUUUUCUUCUCCCCACACCAGUCUUGUGGAAAUAAAAUGCCACCAUGAAGUCUCGAUCUGCUUUGUGUCACGAUGGAAAAGGAGAUCUUUGAAGAUAUUGUUUUAAAUAAAUGGAAAUGUAUGGUGAGAGCAGGCAGGGAAAGAAGCCAUUUAUCCUCCUGUGGAUUAUGUCUGUAUGUAAAUGUAAACCAUGCAGGCAAAUGCGUUACGCUCCGGAGCGCCUGCUCAAGGUCGGCCUCAACGUUCGCUCGGGACCGCGGGAGAUUUGGUUUCCGUCACAUGUAAUCGGUGAAGUCAGAAGAGCUCUUUGAGCAGCGGUGAUUAUCGGUGAAUCUGAGUGGAAAAGUUUCCAUUUUUCAAGCAAACUCUUCCCUCUAGUGGUAAAGCAGGAUGAAGAUACAACCUCAAACAAACAAACAAACAAACAAACAAACAAUCUAACUAACCAACACCCUUAAAAAGUCCCGUUUCUGUGGAAAUGCUCUUUCUUUCUGAGAAGAUCCCAAAAACAGCAGUGCCUAAUUUUACUCUGUUUAUUUUCAUUUAAAUAAACCACUGUGGAGCAAAACCCUCGCUAUCUCACACACACACACACACACACACACACACACACACACACAAGAUAAGAUGAUGAAAUCAGUAGAUUAAACAGUAUUGUUUUGUACAUCACAGUGCAAAAGUCUUAAGCACACGUAAAGAAAUGCUGUAAAUUAAAGAUGACUUCAAACAUG
ensembl:lncRNA